GCCCGUUUAGCUCAGUGGUAGAGCGCGCCACUCGUACCGUCGGGUCGAUGGUGAGGUCAAUCGUUCAAUCCGGUUAGUGGGCA